rnacentral:rRNA from 1 species
UACGGGAGGCAGCAGUGGGGAAUAUUGCACAAUGGGCGCAAGCCUGAUGCAGCCAUGCCGCGUGUAUGAAGAAGGCCUUCGGGUUGUAAAGUACUUUCAGCAGUGAGGAAGUGGGUAUGUUAAUAGCAUACUCAUUUGACGUUAGCUGCAGAAGAAGCACCGGCUAACUCCGUGCCAGCAGCCGCGGUAAUACGGAGGGUGCGAGCGUUAAUCGGAAUUACUGGGCGUAAAGCGCAUGCAGGUGGUUUGUUAAGUCAGAUGUGAAAGCCCGGGGCUCAACCUCGGAAUUGCAUUUGAAACUGGCAAACUAGAGUACUGUAGAGGGGGUAGAAUUUCAGGUGUAGCGGUGAAAUGCGUAGAGAUCUGAAGGAAUACCGGUGGCGAAGGCGGCCCCCUGGACAGAUACUGACACUCAGAUGCGAAAGCGUGGGGAGCAAACAGGAUUAGAUACCCUGGUAG